CGGUGAAUACGUUCCCGGGACCUUGCACACACCGCCCGUCAAGCCAUGGAAGCUGGGUGUACCUAAAGUCGGUAACCGCAAGGAGCCGCCUAGGGUAAAACUAGUAACUGGGGCU
rnacentral:rRNA from 1 species